rnacentral:rRNA from 1 species
GAUGAACGUUGGCGGCGUGCCUAAUACAUGCAAGUCGAACGAAGACUGUAGUAAUACUGUCUUAGUGGCGAACGGGUGAGUAACGCGUGGGUGACCUGCCCCGAAGUGUGGGAUAACAGUUCGAAAGGAUUGCUAAUACUGCAUAAUAUCCAAGAGAUUAGACGCUUUUGGAUUAAAGGAGUAAUUCGCUUCGGGAGGGGCCCGCGUCCCAUCAGCUAGUUGGUAAGGUAAUGGCUUACCAAGGCGAUGACGGGUAGGGGACCUGAGAGGGUGGCCCCCCACAAUGGAACUGAAACACGGUCCAUACACCUACGGGUGGCAGCAGUAGGGAAUAUUAGUAAUGGGCGAAAGCCUGAACUAGCAACGCCGCGUGUGCGAAGAAGGCCUUCGGGUUGUAAGCACUUUUGUAGAGGAUGAGGAAGGACGGUACUCUCAGAAUAAGUCUCGGCUAACUACGUG